UAUUGGGCGUAAGAGCUCGUAGGCGGUUUGUCGCGUCUGCCGUGAAAGUCCGGGGCUCAACUCCGGAUCUGCGGUGGGUACGGGCAGGCUAGAGUGAUGUAGGGGAGACUGGAAUUCCUGGUGUAGCGGUGAAAUGCGCAGAUAUCAGGAGGAACACCGAUGGCGAAGGCAGGUCUCUGGGCAUUAACUGACGCUGAGGAGCGAAAGCAUGGGGAGCGAACAGGAUUAGAUACCCUGGUAGUCCAUGCCGUAAACGUUGGGCACUAGGUGUGGGGGACAUUCCACGUUUUCCGCGCCGUAGCUAACGCAUUAAGUGCCCCGCCUGGGGAGUACGGCCGCAAGGCUAAAACUCAAAGGAAUUGACGGGGGCCCGCACAAGCGGCGGAGCAUGCGGAUUAAUUCGAUGCAACGCGAAGAACCUUACCAAGGCUUGACAUGGACCGGACCGCCGCAGAAAUGUGGUUUCCCCUUUGGGGCUGGUUUACAGGUGGUGCAUGGUUGUCGUCAGCUCGUGUCGUGAGAUGUUGGGUUAAGUCCCGCAACGAGCGCAACCCUCGUUCUAUGUUGCCAGCACGUGAUGGUGGGGACUCAUAGGAGACUGCCGGGGUCAACUCGGAGGAAGGUGGGGACGACGUCAAAUCAUCAUGCCCCUUAUGUCUUGGGCUUCACGCAUGCUACAAUGGCCGGUACAAAGGGUUGCGAUACUGUGAGGUGGAGCUAAUCCCAAAAAGCCGGUCUCAGUUCGGAUUGGGGUCUGCAACUCGACCCCAUGAAGUCGGAGUCGCUAGUAAUCGCAGAUCAGCAACGCUGCGGUGAAUACGUUCCCGGGCCUUGUACACACCGCCCGUCAAGUCACGAAAGUUGGUAACACCCGAAGCCGGGUGGCCUAACCCCUUGUGGGAGGGAGCCGUCAAAGUGG
rnacentral:rRNA from 1 species